AACGCAACUUGCGCCCCUUGGCAUUCCGAGGGGCACACCUGUUUGAGUGUCGUGAAUUCCUCCACCUUAGACUUUUGUCAAAAGGCUGGGACUUGGGGGUCUGCGGGUGUCUCUCUUAGAGUGUCCGCUCCCCUUGAAUAGAUCAGUGAAGACCCUCGCGGCCCUCGGCGUGAUAGAUAUCUACGCCACGGGAAGUGAGAAUUCAGGCCUUUGCUUCUAACCGUCCUACCGGGACAACAAACUUUUGAACUUGACCUCAGAUCAGGUGGGACUACCCGCUGAACUUAA
rnacentral:misc_RNA from 1 species